AGAGCCGAGAGGAGCUUUUACUCAGGGUUUUGAUGUUGUACUUUGAGCCUCACACGGUCAGGUCAACAGAUGGAGAGAUGCAGAGCGUUAUCAGGUCAUUGCAUCUGAAAACAAGGGUGGGCGUGGGCCGAGAGACUAUCAGCCAUGACUCUGGAGGAAAUUUUUCCACAGAUCCACCCAAGACCUUGAGAAGGUUUUCAACAGCAGAAACAAGACUGGACCACAUUAAUUCAUGGAAUAUGAGUUUGGAUCAGACGAAGGACGUCAGCAGCAGCCUUCAGCUUGUCAUCACUGAGUGGAGCUGAAAGUUCAUCCAGCAGCGGAACAACUGAUGAGAGAAACCAAGAAUAAACAGCUGGGGGAUUUAAAGUAAAUGAAAAGGCAUCUGAAAAUGUAAUCUGGAAAAGUUUUUG